CGCAGGAAUUGCUGGUCCUGAAGCGCCCAGCGGGCGUUGAGCCGGUUUUCCCCUGGCUCCCCUUAUAAUAAUAGGAAGAGCCCCGCGCCACCAAUGCGGAGCCGCCCCACACUGAGGCCGCCAACGAGAUUUUUGGCGUCGCAGUGGCCUGCAGGGUCAGCGUUAGCGUCCCUCCCUCCUUUCUUCUACUUGUACCUUCUCCGAUGCUAGCUAAAGGCAGUCAUUACUCUAUAGGAAAGUUAACAGGGGACUGAAGAGAACAACCACAAAGUGCAAUGUGUGAUCUUGAAUUGGAUCCUGGAAGAGGGGGUCAAGAUUGCUAUAAAGACUAUUCUGGGGGCAAUUGAUGAAAUUCAAAUAUAAACAAUAUGUUAGGAUGGAGAGUGCGGCUGAAAAUUCCAAGCUUCUAAUCGCGGCUUGGUCUUUCUCGUGACCAGCCUGCCUCUAGGAGCCAUCCAGGGAGCCCACCCAGAGUCACCUCAAUAGAACAAAAGAUGUGCCUCGUGCUCUCUCUUAUCACUUAGGAAUUUACAAAGGUUUCAGUAGCUCUGUAUCAGGAACUGGGGGCAGAGACCAAUAUAUGUUUUCUGUUAUUUCACAGCUAUAUCAGAGAAUGUCCUUGUUUAAAGGACAUAGAUACUGAACUAUUUAGACAUAAAGGAGCAUGAUGUCUGUUGAUUCAUUAAAAAUUUAUGUAUAGAUAAAAAAUAGAAAGUGAGAUAAGCAA